UCACUUUGUAAAGUGCUCUGCGUGUUUCUGCCUAAUUACGAGACGUGGCUGCUCUUACAUUUUCCUUCCUCUUCUUUCAGCCACAUCCAGUCGUCCAGCUAUUAAACUUCUCCUGCGGGCCGGAUCCCAUGCUAGUUCCUGGGGAUACAGAAAUAAAUAAGACCCGCGUCUCGCCCUCCAGGAUUUUAUAGUCUCGUGGGGGAAUAUGAAUAAAAAGAAUCACCUCCAUUCAUUGCACACCUACGAUUCAGCAGGCACAAUGCUAGCAUCCUCUCAGUAAAAUGUCACAAAGACCCAGGACUUAAGUCUAAGCAGAGGACAUGACUCUAGAGGCCUUGGUUUCAACCAAAGCUCCCUCGUGUCCUCCAGGAUCGACUGGUCAGACCCAAGAACCAGCUCUGGACAAUCCCGUCGUCGUCCCCACUUUACAGACGGGGAGACUGAACUUCAGAGUCGUCCGAUCUCUUCCCGGGAUCACACAGCUUCCGCUGGGAAAUUGAGGCUUCCCCGGACUUCAGUGUCUGUCAUUGCGGCACGCAGCCACUGGAGGGCGCUGUGUCCUCACAGUUCUGGCUGAGCUUCCCUCCACCGGCCAAGCCCAUCCACUCGAGGCUGGAGAGAAUUUGGGAGGCCUGGGGCCAGCACCUGGGAAGCCUCUGGACACAGCAAGGUGCACUCAGGCCAUAUGGGGCCAGUAGGAUGUGACUCUGUGGAAGGAUGUGCAGAGAGUGCUGACCAGGGGACGAAGCCCUGGGCCUCAGUCUGCCGCUGACUCAUGGUGAGUUUGGGGCAAAUUAUUUCACUAUGUGAGCCUCAGUUUUAGCAGCUGUAAACUGGGGACAGUGAAAUCUAUGGGUUUGUUGCAAGAAAUGCCACAAAGGACAGAUCAUGGACUUGGACGUCGUCAGGGCCAAAGUAAGUAAUUCUUGUUACAGUAUUACCCUCAAAGAAUCAUUCCCUCGCCAUUCAUUGCUGGGGAGGAGAAGAGCAUUUGGAAAGGGCCCAGUAUGAACCUGGAACCGGCUGGGUGCCUGCGUGGCUCAGUUGUUAAAGCAUCUGACUUCGGUGCAGGUCAUGAUCUCACGGUUUGUGAGUUCGAGUCCCACACUGGGUGAGCAUGAGCCCCUCUUCGGAUGAACCCUGCUUCUCUCUCUCUCUCUCUCUCUCUCUCUCAAAAGAAAAAAAAUAACUGGCUUAGGCACUUUCCCUGGGGCCCUUUAAAUUCUCACAAAAGCCCCACGAGGUAUAAAUUACUAUCAUGUCCAUUUCACAGUUGGCAAAGCCCGGGCUCAGAGAGGUAAUAUGUGGCUUGCCUGGGGUCCCCCAGCCACUGGGUAGCCUUAGUGGGUCUAGCUCCCCAGACUUCCCUUCCAUCACGACAUGAUCCCACACCGCCUCAUGCCAAGGAGAGGGGGAAUUUGGUGCAACUUACUAAAGUCUCUCAGGCCAAGGUUUCCGAUGACAUGAUUCUUCCUCCUCCUUGGGAAACAGACUAGCUCCCCCUGCAAGUUGACCAAGCUCCCAGUGUGAGUAAGUAUGAGCAGGUGGGUGGGAGAAGCCCAGCUUAAGCUCCACGGUCAGGCUUCCUAAGAUGUUUGGGGUGCAGGGUACUUGUGGUGGAGGACCAAUUGCUGGGUUGUGGUUUUUCUCAGUUUUAAUUGUCCGUCCUGAUGAGAGGAAGAUGAUGCUAUUUGCACGGUUGUAGAAUAAUGAAAGUAUGGCUUAGCUUGCCAUCAUUUCUGUUCUGUCUCCCUACUUUUCCCUCGCUUGAGAAGGGUGGAGGAGUGGGGGUGCCUGGGUCGCUCAAUUGGUUAAGCAUCU